GAUGAAGAACGCAGCGAAAUGCGAUAAGUAGUGUGAAUUGCAGAAUUCAGUGAAUCAUCGAAUCUUUGAACGCACAUUGCGCCCUUUGGUAUUCCAAAGGGCAUGCCUGUUCGAGCGUCAUUUGUAUCCUCAAGCUUUGCUUGGUGUUGGGCGUCUUGUCUCUAGCUUUGCUGGAGACUCGCCUUAAAGUAAUUGGCAGCCGGCCUACUGGUUUCGGAGCGCAGCACAAGUCGCACUCUCUAUCAGCAAAGGUCUAGCAUCCAUUAAGCCUUUUUUUUCAACUUUUGACCUCGGAUCAGGUAGGGAUACCCGCUGAACUUAAGCAUAUCAAUAGCGGAGGA
rnacentral:misc_RNA from 1 species